AGAAAACACAAAAGAAGAUACACUUUUGAGGUAUUGGCUGAAACUUUUUCUUAGAGGGAAAACUGUGCGAGAUCUGGAAGGAUUUUAUGAAUUCGUCUGUGGUUUCACGGUGUGGAAGCGUUCACUUUCAUAUCUCCAAAGGAAUAAGGAAGAGAAUGCAAAUUGAUUGCUUGACAGAGAUCAAAUUGCUUGCUACUAAUUAAUACAAAACAUCCAAGAGGGAAAACAAGGAUGAACACAAUGAGUACAUUAAGUCUCUUCACUUCACAGAUCUUAUUAUAGAAUUAUUUAUUUCUGUUAGCUUUGGAGAAAGGAAAAAAAGAGAGAAAAAGCACACAUCUUCUUAAUUAUAGCUCACAGAGCAUUUCCCCAGAAAAACAAAAUUGGGGUGGGGGGGAGAGAGGAGGGGGUCGCUAGGGGGGUUAUUCACACAGUUAGAUUUGCAUAUGAAUUAAGACUUAGCCUACUACUAUUCUGGCUGGUUCGUCAUCUGCUGAAUCAUAUUUAAACCCCCAAAACACACACACACACACACACAGGCACACAGUCACACAGUCACGCCCCAACAUAAGUAAUGUUUCUCAGAGGCCAGAUUUCUCUGGGGGGGACAAAAACUGAAGCAGCCUGAUGCUGAGGGUCUACGAGACUUUCAGUGUGUUAAUCUGGCUGCUAACUGUCCUUGAGCCCAGCCCAUUUCCCCCCCAACCCCAUCUGCCAGCAUUCCCACUGCAGAGGAGGAGAAUGGGUUACAAUUGUGGGAGGGGGGCAUAUAGGGGUUGGGGUUUGUGGGGGGUGUGGAGUGGGGGAGGCAGAAAAGAGAGAGACCUUCCCAGUCCAGCAAUCAUGAAUAACCAUUGCCUUGCACCAUUAUCAGGGGACCCUGGAUCCAAGCUGGAGAUGUAAGAGAGAGCAAACGCGUGCGCUCGGCGAUCUGGACAUUACUCUCACAUUUUGGUUGUUAGUGAUGCUAUUAUUAUUAUUUUCAUAUUACGCUUUAUUAAUACUCUCCAGCUGCCGUGGAUAUUCAUCACUGACCUUGAGUGUUUGUGUGUGUGUGUGUGAGUGUGUGUCCUGCCUCAGUUCCCAGCUUAUCCGUCCACUUGGGAUGCUCUCGUGUAAUUAACACAAACAUUAUUGUGACGGAGUAAAAAAAAAAAAAAAACAACUCUGUGCUGAUACCUCAUCUUGAAAACAAUAAAGCAUGCCAGAGUAGCAAAGUAAGAUUCUGGAGAGCACAAAAUUAAUUACAUUAUUUACAUUUCCUUUAGAUAAGGGGGUACAGGCGAUAUGAUGGAGGCAAAUGAGAUUACACAAAAUAAGAUUUCAAAAUGUCAGAGCUGCACUCCCAACCAACCAACUGUUAUGAUUAGAUUACUCUUUUAAUAUAAUUACUGUCUAAGGCCGUGUGUGUGGAAACAAUGCAUACAUAAAAAACAGCAGCCGCGUAUUAACUGAUUCCCCCCCCCUCUCUCUCUCCCCGUCCCUUUUCUCUCUGAGUCUUUUUCUCUUAACCUUUCUUCAACAGUAUCAUUUUGAAUUAUAGGGAACGGAUGGGUGCUCUGCACAAGGUCACUGUCUGGUGUGCACUCGCAACUCCCACCCCUCCACCCCCUCUUUUGCUCCUGUCUUGUUUUUGUUUCCUCUUCCAGAAGCGCACUGAGCGAAGGGUUAAAACUGGAAUGGAUUUAAUUAUGGAAUGAAUGGAAUUAUAAUGCGCCUGCAGCAAGUUUUCCUCCUUAUUUAUUAAAGCAGCUGAUGGGCCAGGUUUGAUGAGCCACUUCUGGCAUAAUUGAGUCAUCACACAAAGAGGGUUCCUCGCAUUCAGAGUGGUUUUAUCAGCAGCAAACAGACCUGAUUACUGGCAAUUACACUCUGAUCUAGGGGAAGGAGAAAAAAGGGUAAAUGUGCGGGGUAACGUUUUGUGUUUAUAGUUUACCCCGGGAAUAAUUUUCACAUUAAUUUUACAUGCUAAGUGUUUUCUGUUUAUGUAUAAUAAAGAGCAAACGGCAGGAGAUAGGACCUUUUACUUUCAUAUUUCCUUGUAAUGAAGGUCUAUGGGGGAUAUAGUUAAUUGAUCGCAAUUCAUACUUACACCAUAGGUGGGUUUUUUUAGUGUAAAGAAAGUGAGCUCAGUCUGUUUUAGCUCCAGCAGCAAGGUGCGCUAGCCGCAACAUACCUGUUUGGAUAAGGCUCACACCUCUUCCUGGGCAAGCUGGUGAUUGCUUUUGCCAUUUUUCAUUGAGAUGCAAAUAGAUUCAUGGAAAGUAAAUUAAGCCUUGGUCAGACAGUGAAAUCAACUUCUGUUCAGAGAGUAUUUAGAUAAACAACUUUGUGUUGUGCGUGUGUGCGUGCGUGUGCAUGCGCGUUUGUGUGUGUGUGUGUGUGUGUGUAGUGGGGGUGGUGGGGGGUUGUUAUCUUCUUUUGUGUGAGGUGGCCAUGAAGCCAUCAGACAUUCUCUGUCUAAAUACCAGCUGGACAGUCCAAUAACUGGAAAAUAAAUUAGGAGGGAAGAUGGGUCACAAAAUGUCUGUGUUUAAUUUUAGGCUUUUUCCUCCUCUUGAAUUUCACAACAGGUGAUUGAUCAGUACAUGGAUACUACAGGUGUGGGCUGAUUACUUGUAUUAUUGUAUACACAUAUUUUUUAAAAGUUGUAGAUUUAAAACUGCACAUUUUUUCCCCAUCACUGUUCCUAUGGUUUAUAGUGCUUUUAUGCAAAAGCCAGAAUCAGAGCAGAAGUGGAGGAAGUUUUCACUUAUUGUAUAAAGCAUAGUGCAGCUUUGCCCCUCCUCAAAUUGUUGCUGCACACAGCUAUUCAAUUGAGUGAAUGGAGGCUACCAGACUUACCCCUCACUUUAAAGUAAUACAAACAAAGUUUUCUGUGGCUGUUUGAGGCGUACAGGUGUGCAGCCUUGCCCCCACCCACAUGGUUCUUAUACACACUGCCGAUCAAUUGAUUUAAAGAAGACAUAUAUACCUCUUAUAAGAAUUUAUUUAUUUUUUCUCUGCACAUCCUCGCCUAACUUUUCCUGCACACCACUGGCCCACAGUCUGGAAGACGGCUGCUGCACUUAUGCCUCUCUUACAAGAAAGACAAAUUCAGUUAUGUUGUGGAGAUUAAAAGUAGGGCCACCUAUUGGUCUUAUUAAGGUAAUCUUGUUUGAAAACAACACUUGGCAGGCAUUGUGUGUCUGUUAAGCAGAUGACUGCCGCCUGGCUACCUGUGCAGGAAGUCUGACUAAUUAUCCUACUAAUGUCUGCUUGUUAUACUUUGGCAAAUACUACUAAAUUUAGAGGUUGUUUAUAUUUAUGCUUGAGCCCAUGCAUAGAAAUUAUUUUUCACUGAAUAAUUAUAAUUGAUAAUAUCGUUCUGUGUCCUGUGGUCUAAAUAUGCAAGAUUGUAAAAGAUUAAUAUUUUUACUAAAGGGUAUGCCAUGAUAAUAUCAUACUGGCUCAUAUCCAGUAAAGAUUAACUGAUAAUUCCUUAAAACAAAACUCUGAUGCCAAGUUUAUUUUAUUUUCCCAUUUUUCAAUUAUAUCAUACAAAAAAAAAUGCUAAGUAGUCUUGAACUUUUUGAGAUUUGUUUCAGUGGUAAAAAUGAAAGUAAAGAUCUUUAUGUGCUUGCUUCAGAGAAAAGAAAAAAAAAAGCUUCAUCUUAAAAAAAACCCUGCCAACAAUUUAUGAGCAUUCCUCUGUGUAAAGGAGUUUAGUGGUUUCAUGCAGACACAGGCAAAAUCCUGAAGUCAACUGCGAUUUCAGAUAUAACAGCCUCACAGCUAUCCUGACGGCCAAGCAAAGUGUUUGUGCCUUUUGCCAAAGUGUACUUUUAUAGAGAAGCGUAUUGGCAUCUCAUCACUUCUCCAAGACAGAGACGCUUCAAUAAAGGAGCACAGCUCACAGAAUUCUUAACAGACAAUUAGGAGGCUGGCUAGAAGCUAUCGCUUCAAUGAUUUGUUAUGAUGGCAAAACUACAGGGGAAACUUGUUGUUGGACAGAGUUAGCAGGAGUCCCAUGAAAGAGUCAGAUGGUGACACCUUUGCCGAGGUGAUUUAUGAAUCUUGUAAUCGCGUUCCAAAGUCAUCCCAAAGCCUUUCCUUCUAAAUUGGGUUCAUCUGGAGCCGGACCACACAGAGGCACCGAGUCCAGAUUGUUUCUUCUGACAUCAAAGAGCCAAUUUCAGUUUUUGACCGCAUUUCUGCUGCUUUUAGUCCCCUUAUCUUAUAAAAAGGGUCUAGAUGAUAUGCUAUUUUAUUUGUGAAUUUCAAUCCAAUUAGGGACACCAAAAUAUUGAAACAUGUAAAAUUUGUAUCCUCCUCCUCUAAGCCAUUCAUCAAUAGCGUAAUAAAUUGAGCGGCGCGCAAUUCAUCCACUGGCAAGUGUCCAGCUUGUCAAACAGCUCCUGUGUUGGGCCGAAUCUUUGAAUUCUAUCAUGAGCAUGCUUUUUCAAACCUGUCUAAUUUGGGGACAGGUGUUUGGGUGAAAAAAAAGAACUUCCAGCUCUGGUGCGACAAUGAGCAGAGUAAUCCCGUUCAUUGUCCCUGCCCAAGGAGCCCCUUUUCAUGGAGGAGGUCGCAUGAAAGCUACCAGGUGGUCUGCAAUUUGGAGAAACGUAGUAACCGCUCCGGCUAAUCCCCCCCUUUCUGUCACAAAAGGCAGGUCUCCAGUGCUCCGGGGGACUCUCGGGGGGGGGCAAAAGGGAAAAGUUUACAAUGCUCACAGAGGGUCUGAAAGGAGUCAGGGACUCGAGUGGUGAUUCCUAAUCAGAUUGCACUGAAGUGAACAGCUCGCAUGGCAGCUGUAGUUUUCCCAGGGUUAAUUACCUUUCACUGCUCUCUCUAAAUGAGUCAGCUGUUCCUGUCAUUAAACAACUCCACUCUAUCUCUGCUCCCGUGUCCUCCUCACACAUGUGCACACGUGAACACACACUAACCGACGCUAUUUUAAACGCGUUCGGUAUAGCGAUCAAAGCCCGUUCAAAAAUAUCAAUUAUUCGAGAAAUGUGAGGUCUUUGAUCAAUUUCCUUACCACUUAGUGGACAUUGGAGAGCAAUUUCAGAUUGGUGUAUUUUGAUUUGCGCCGCUGAUUUUUAUGCAUAUGGGAGGCAGUGGUCCCAGUGCACCUCCCAUCCACACUGAUUCAGAACAAUAAUACCAGUCUGUCAAGGUCUCAUUGUAAACGGUUCCCGUUGUACUAAUGGAACACAUAAAGGAGCACACAUGCUCACAUAUGUGCACAUGCAAACACUAGCAUACGCACACACACCACCAACACAUGCACAGUCCAGCUCGAAACAUAGAUGUUCUGUCAUCAAUUCUGAACAAUCUGUCUGCUCGCCGAGCUCAGCGGCUCAGGAUGUUGGGGGAGUUUUAAGUGAAUUUUGCCACUGUAUGGUAAAAUCCCUUGGCCACCUGGAUUACAAACUCUAGUCCUUUAACUCAUGCCAGUAUAAAUCCGUGUUAACUCGGAUUUACCUCUGGCAUAUGAAUUCUCAAUCUGCGUAAGCUUUGUUUGGAAUGAGUCGAACAUAAGUAUUUUGUGCCGUUAACGAUGCCCGGUGGUGAAUUUUUCUUCUUUUUUUUUCUUUUUUUUUUUCGAUGAAACACACACCGGGGAGAUGGUUUGGGACUAAAUUAGUUAUUAGAACAACUUGAGAGGACUCAAGCAGAGUUUUAUUACAGUCGAUAUGUGACACUGGUGUGGCCCUUCACAUCCAGGUGGAAGUGCGCAACACUGCACUGUGAAAGCCAUGUAACCAAGGCAACCAGCAUAAACUCAGAAAGGGUACACUGUGAACAAGAGUUUAAGCUACAAAUAAGCAUUUGGGUCACUUAUGGCAGAUCUUGUUCUCUUGCACUCUGAAGUUAAAAGGUUAACAAUAAAUAGAAAAUGUUAUUUUGAGAAUAAAGUCUAAAUGUUUAC